rnacentral:ncRNA from 1 species
ACAUCGAAAAGGCAAAGCUAUGGAAACAUAGUUGCGCAAAGCUACAGGGGCUAAAGUGGUUAAUCGACUAGGCCAGCCAGCUACCGAA